rnacentral:misc_RNA from 1 species
UUGGGGUUAGGUUGGUUAUAGAAAUAUGAAAGCUAAUCUGUGGAACGUUGUGAUCUUUAUUUUGAUAGAACAAAAUGGAUCAGACGUAAUUGGAUAAAAUAAUAUAAAACCUAAUAUUUUUCUGAACUCGCUAAAAACUAGCCAUUUCUUCUUUUUAUUGCCAGACUAUUUUUCUUUUAAUUUCUAAACUGUAUUUAUUAUUUAUUUAUUUGUGAAUGUUCAUGCAAAUUAGUAUUCUUCUGAAAUCGAUUAAAGAAACAAAGAUUUCUUCCACCUUCCAAAAAAUAGCCAUUUCUUCUUUUUAUUACCAAACUAUUUUUCUUUUAAUUUCUAAACUGCAUUUAUUAUUUAUUUAUUUGUGAAUGUUCAUAGAAAUUAGCAUUUUUCUGAACUGUAUUAAAGAAGCAAACAUUUCUUCCACCUUCCAAAAAAUAGCCAUUUCUUCUUUUUAUUACCAAACCAUUAUUCCUACAAUUUUUCAACCAUU